CACAGCGGAACCAGCGCUCUUUAUAAACACUGCUCGACACUCUCCCUCUCUCCAGGUCUCAUUCGUCGAACUCCUGUCUACGGGGGCUUUCAGUCCAAUCGGCUUCUCCCGUCUCCACCAGAUUCUACAGUCUUGCCGCCUCCUCCCCUUCCCGAUUCUUUCUGUAGGAAUAAAAAGGAGGGUUCCUCUACUUCAACAAAAGCUUAUGAUCUUUCUCCUUUGGGAAAAACCAUUCUUCAUCUCUGAGUUGGGAUUGGUUGGUUUCGUUGGAAUAUCCGUUUUAAUCUAAGAGGGAAGUAAUCCUUAAUGGGGUUAGUGGGGUGCUCUGUUACGAUCACAAUGAUUUGGGUUCAUCUUACUUUUGGUAUUAUUCAUCUAAGGUCUUGCAUGUGGGAAUGAGGUAUCGUAGUGCAGCCAAGGAUGACUUGCCGGCGACAUAUCUGUGUAGCAGUUGUUUCCUUUCAUUUUGAAACCAUGGCUCUGUUAUAAUUAAAGUGGAUAUGUCUGUGUAUUAACAUGCUUAGCGAAGUAAAAAAAAAAUGUAUUUAAUUAACUUUGAGCAUAACAUGCAACUGUUAGACGAUUCCCAUGCUGGAGAAAAGGUUUCAUCUUUCAUGUAGAGAAGUCGAUCGGCAAGUUGUCUUUGACUAUAUUUCUACCUCGUUUUCUCAUGCUGGAUCUGUGAUGACUACGACGAUGACGACGGCAGCUUGCGGUUCUGGUGGUGGUGCUGGUGCUCGUGAUGAUAUGGUUUGGUAGCGAGAUUUUAAAUCGUUAGAAGAUACAUUUUUCCCUGUUUUAUUUUGUUUUUGCCUGGUUAUCUCGUUAUUUUUGUUUCUCAAACUCAAUAUAUCUCUGUUUGCAGAUUUUGCCGAACUGACCACAAUACAGCAAGGAAAACAACUUCGUUCGAAUAGUGGUGCUGGCCUUUUUAUUGAUGCCUUUGCCUUUUGCAGUAUACCAGUUUUCCAAAACUUGUGCUAAACAAAUGUUUCUGCAGUGAAAUCAAUCUAUGGACGGGGAACAAAAGAGGACCUGUUUUUUUUUUUUUUUUUCCUUUCCUCUUUAAAUGAUGCGACCCACAAAUUUGGCCAGAAAUCUGAAUGAGAAAAUCCUAGUCUUCCUGACUUUUUUUUAAUCUUCAUUUUUCUUCUUUCCAUCAUUUCGUGCAAGCGGUUCAAUACUGAUCAGUUGUUAGAAUUCUCGCUUACAGUUGGAUUUUCUGUUUUUCUUUUCUUGUUACGUGGCUGACAGGAUUAGCUUUUAACAAUCCCAUGAUCAAAACAUGUUAUUAACCGUUCAAACUGCUCACUGUGAUUGAUUCCACCUGAGCUACUGUGCCGGUUGCCUCCGGGAAGUGGCACAUCGUGGAUCGUGGUGAAUGGUGGUGGCGAGUGGAAAUGUGUAAGAGACCGACAGAUAUGGAGAUAGACCCAGACGUAGCCUGGAUUGAUUAGUCUUGUACUUCUGUUGAGCGUGAAGUCAGCUCACCUCUUGAGUUUUGAUAGUUUCGCUUUUGGCUCACCUGUACCUCUUUUUGUUUCGCCUUUUGCUUUCCUCCUGUAUCUGAUCAGGUGACAAUUCUGUUUGGAUGACAUCUACAAUUCUGCUCUCCCAACCGUCCAAAAGUUAUUCUUGAUUUGCCACGCGUGGUGCAUACGCGUUGGAAUGGAGCAGUUGAUGGCUUGGUACGAACCAUUUGCCAUGUUUCUUGGUUGACCGGCCAGAGCCCAGACUCCAGUCCACAAGCUAAAUGACCAGAUAACUCGUUUGUACAAAAGAUUAUUACCAUCCUUUUUGCUGCAAAAUAUUGUUUUCUGUCCUGUAAAUUAUAAAAGCGGCAAGCGUUUCAUCCUGAAAAGCACUCUAAUGUAAUAAUACAAGCUUUAGAAUCGAUGGGUUCAGUCGUUUUGGUUUGAUUUCUAA